rnacentral:misc_RNA from 1 species
UCCGUGUUAACCACGGCAGUCUCUCUAGAGUGCCCAACUUAAUGCUGGCAACUAAAGACAAGGGUUGCGCUCGUUGCGGGACUUAACCCAACAUGUCACCACACGAGCUGACGACAGCCAUGCAGCACCUGUCUCCCGGUCGUAUUGCUACGAAGACUGUAUUUCUACAGCUGUCCAGGGAUGUCAAAUCCAGGUAAGGUUUUUCGCGUUGCUUCGAAUUAAACCACAUGAUCCACCGCUUGUGCGGGCCCCCGUCAAUUCCUUUGAGUUUUAGUCUUGCGACCGUACUUCCCAGGCGGGAUACUUAUUGCGUUAGCUCCGGCUCGGCAGGGGUCAAGACCCACCAAGCCUAGUAUCCAUCGUUUACAGCGUGGACUAC